rnacentral:rRNA from 1 species
AGUGAACGCUGGCGGUAGGCCUAACACAUGCAAGUCGAACGGCAGCACAGUAAGAGCUUGCUCUUACGGGUGGCGAGUGGCGGACGGGUGCGGAAUACAUCGGAAUCUACUUUUUCGUGGGGGAUAACGUAGGGAAACUUACGCUAAUACCGCAUACGACCUACGGGUGAAAGCAUGGGAUCUUCGGACCUUGCGCGAUUGAAUGAGCCGAUGUCGGAUUAGCUAGUUGGCGGGGUAAAGGCCCACCAAGGCGACGAUCCGUAGCUGGUCUGAGAGGAUGAUCAGACACACUGGAACUGAGACACGGUCCAGACUCCUACGGGAGGCACCAGUGGGGAAUAUUGGACAAUGGGCGCAAGCCUGAUCCAGCCAUACCGCGUGGGUGAAGAAGGCCUUCGGGUUGUAAAGCCCUUUUGUUGGGAAAGAAAAGCAGCAGGUUAAUACCCCGCUGUUCUGACGGUACCAAAAGAAUAAGCACCGGCUAACUUCGUG